UACAGAGGGUGCAAGCGUUGUUCGGAAUUACUGGGCGUAAAGCGUGCGUAGUCGGUAUUGAGAGUCACGGGUGAAAUCCCAGGGCUUAACCCUGGAACUGCCUGUGAGACCUCAGUACUAGAGUGUGAGAGGGGAUAGUGGAAUACCCAGUGUAGCGGUGAAAUGCGUAGAGAUUGGGUGGAACACCGGUGGCGAAAGCGGCUCACUGGACCAUAACUGACGCUGAGGCGCGAAAGCUAGGGGAGCAAACAGG
rnacentral:rRNA from 1 species